rnacentral:rRNA from 1 species
ACGGAAGGCAGCAGUGGGGAAUAUUGCACAAUGGGGGAAACCCUGAUGCAGCGACGCCGCGUGAGUGAAGAAGUAUUUCGGUAUGUAAAGCUCUAUCAGCAGGAAAGAAAAUGACGGUACCUGACUAAGAAGCCCCGGCUAACUACGUGCCAGCAGCCGCGGUAAUACGUAGGGGGCAAGCGUUAUCCGGAUUUACUGGGUGUAAAGGGAGCGUAGACGGCUUUGCAAGUCUGAAGUGAAAGCCCGGGGCUCAACCCCGGAACUGCUUUGGAAACUGUAGAGCUAGAGUGCAGGAGAGGUAAGUGGAAUUCCUAGUGUAGCGGUGAAAUGCGUAGAUAUUAGGAGGAACACCAGUGGCGAAGGCGGCUUACUGGGCUGUAACUGACGUUGAGGCUCGAAGGCGUGGGGAGCAAACAGGAUUAGAUACCCUGGUA